rnacentral:rRNA from 1 species
UACGGAGGGUGCGAGCGUUGUCCGGAAUCAUUGGGCGUAAAGGGCGCGUAGGCGGGCUGCCGCGUCCGGGGUGAAAUCCUCCCGCUCAACGGGAGAACGGCCUCGGAUACGGGCGGCCUCGAGGGAGGUAGGGGCAUGCGGAACUACGGGUGGAGCGGUGAAAUGCGUUGAUAUCCGUGGGAACUCCGGUGGCGAAGGCGGCGUGCUGGACCUCAUCUGACGCUGAGGCGCGAAAGCGUGGGGAGCAAACAGG